AAUGCCCCUAAAGGUGUUGCGGGUGUGCCUGCUCUGUCACAUGUGCAUCAGAAAGUGCCAGAAGGAGAGAAGCCAUGGUCAUGCAUAGUAUUCUGACUAAUGAACGUCUGAAAAAUUAAUACCUAGUAGA
ensembl:snoRNA Gm22429 predicted gene, 22429